UGUCCCUAUGUCCCCAUGGCAACAGGUCACCUUGUCACUGUGUCACCAUGGCAACGUGUCCCCAUGUCAUUAUAUCGCUCUGUCACCAUGGCAACGCGUCCCUGUGUCACCGCUCCCCAUGUCCCCAUAGCCCCAUCUCCCUGUGUCACCAUGUCCCCAUGGCAACGUGUCGCGGUGUCCCCAUGUCGCUCUGUCCCCAUGUCAUCACAUCACUGCGUCACCAUGGCAAUGUGUCACCAUAGCAACGGGUCCCCAUCUCCCCAUGACUGUGAGUCCCCACGUCCCCAUGGCAACGUGUCCCCAUGGCAACAGGUCACCUUGUCACUGUGUCACCAUGGCAACGGGUCCCCAUGUCCCCCCGUCCCCAUGUCAUCAUGUCAUUGUGUCACCAUGGCAACGUGUCACCAUGGCUACAUGUCACUGUGUCCCCAUAUCCUAAUGUCCCCAUGUCAUUACAUCACUCUGUCACCAUGGCAACGUGUCCCCAUGGCAACGUGUCCCCAUGUCACCGCUCCCCAUGUCCCCAUAGCCCCAUCACCAUGUGUCACCAUGUCCCCAUGUCCCCAUGGCAACGUGUCACGGUGUCCCCAUCUCACACCGUCACCAUGGCAACGUGUCACCCUGUCCCCAUCUCACACCGUCACCAUGGCAACGUGUCAUCAAUCACUGUGUCACCAUGGCAACGUGUCACCUGUCCCCAUCUCAAACCAUCAUUGUGGCAACGUGUCACCAUGUCACUGUGUCCCCAUGUCCCCAUGUCCCCAUGUCAUCACAUCACUGUGUCACCAUGGCAACGUGUCACCGUGUCCCCAUCUCAAACCGUCACCAUGGCAACGUGUCAUCACGUCACUGCGUCCCCAUGGCAACGUGCCACCGUGACCCCAAUGACCCCUUGUCCCUCUGUCCCCAAACCCCACGGCCCCCAAAGC
rnacentral:lncRNA from 1 species